CACCUGUUCCCAUGCCGAACACAGUAG
rnacentral:rRNA from 1 species